UACGUAGGGUGCGAGCGUUAAUCGGAAUUACUGGGCGUAAAGCGUGCGCAGGCGGUUCGUCGUGUCCGAUGUGAAAGCCCCGGGCUCAACCUGGGAAUGGCAUUGGAAACUGGCGGACUCGAGUGUGGCAGAGGGGGGUGGAAUUCCGCGUGUAGCAGUGAAAUGCGUAGAUAUGCGGAGGAACACCGAUGGCGAAGGCAGCCCCCUGGGUCAAGAUUGACGCUCAUGCACGAAAGCGUGGGGAGCAAACAGG
rnacentral:rRNA from 1 species